UACGGAGGGUGCAAGCGUUAAUCGGAAUUACUGGGCGUAAAGCGCACGCAGGCGGUCUGUCAAGUCAGAUGUGAAAUCCCCGGGCUUUACCUGGGAACUGCAUUUGAAACUGGCAGGCUUGAGUCUCGUAGAGGGGGGUAGAAUUCCAGGUGUAGCGGUGAAAUGCGUAGAGAUCUGGAGGAAUACCGGUGGCGAAGGCGGCCCCCUGGACAAAGACUGACGCUCAGGUGCGAAAGCGUGGGGAGCAAACAGG
rnacentral:rRNA from 1 species